CAGUCGCCGCGGUAAUACGGAGGAUCCAAGCGUUAUCCGGAAUCAUUGGGUUUAAAGGGUCCGUAGGCGGUCUUGUAAGUCAGUGGUGAAAGCCCAUCGCUCAACGGCGGAACGGCCAUUGAUACUGCAGGACUUGAAUUAUUGGGAAGUAACUAGAAUAUGUAGUGUAGCGGUGAAAUGCUUAGAGAUUACAUGGAAUACCAAUUGCGAAGGCAGGUUACUACCAAUUGAUUGACGCUGAUGGACGAAAGCGUGGGUAGCGAACAGGAUUAGAUACCCCUGUAGUCCCUGUCUCUUAUAC
rnacentral:rRNA from 1 species